UCUUGGUUCUGGCAUCGAUGAAGAACGCAGCGAAAUGCGAUAAGUAGUGUGAAUUGCAGAAUUCAGUGAAUCAUCGAAUCUUUGAACGCACAUUGCGCCCCUUGGUAUUCCAUGGGGCAUGCCUGUUCGAGCGUCAUUUGUACCUUCAAGCUCUGCU
rnacentral:rRNA from 2 species